rnacentral:lncRNA from 1 species
AAAGCUUGCAGGUAAAGAGGUGUUGGACUGUGAGGUGUAGCGGAUAGUUCGGAUCGGGUGGCCAACGUCUUGACCAUGAAGGUAGGAAACUCGGUGCGAAUAACAUCGGCUGUAUAGUGGUGAAAAGGAAUUCUGGGGUGACCUCUGUUUGUUGUCUCUUGCAUCACUUGAGGACAAGCAAUGAGAUAAGUUUGGGGUUGUGAUCGGUCACCAUUUUACUUGAU